rnacentral:rRNA from 1 species
ACCUCGGAUCAGGUAGGAAUACCCGCUGAACUUAAGCAUAUCAAUAAGCGGAGGAAAAGAAACCAACAGGGAUUGCCCUAGUAACGGCGAGUGAAGCGGCAACAGCUCAAAUUUGAAAUCUGGCCUUCGGGUCCGAGUUGUAAUUUGUAGAGGAUGCUUUUGGUGAGGUGCCUUCCGAGUUCCCUGGAACGGGACGCCAUAGAGGGUGAGAGCCCCGUCUGGUUGGACACCGAUCCUCUGUAAAGCUCCUUCGACGAGUCGAGUAGUUUGGGAAUGCUGCUCUAAAUGGGAGGUAUAUGUCUUCUAAAGCUAAAUAUUGGCCAGAGACCGAUAGCGCACAAGUAGAGUGAUCGAAAGAUGAAAAGCACUUUGAAAAGAGAGUUAAAAAGUACGUGAAAUUGUUGAAAGGGAAGNCGCUCAUGACCAGACUUGGGCUUGGUUGAUCAUCCAGGGUUCUCCCUGGUGCACUCUUCCAGUUCAGGCCAGCAUCAGUUCGCUGUGGGGGAUAAAGGCUUUGGGAAUGUGGCUCCCUCGGGAGUGUUAUAGCCCAUUGUGUAAUACCCUGUGGNGGACUG